UCAAGUAAUUAAGUGCAUGUGGUGGAUGCCUUGGCAGUCAGAGGCGAUGAAAGACGUGAUAGCCUGCGAAAAGCUCCGGGGAGGCGGCAAAUAUCCUUUGAUCCGGAGAUGUCUGAAUGGGGGAACCCACCUACUUUAAGGUAGGUAUUGCAACAUGAAUACAUAGUGUUGCAAGGCGAACGAGGGGAAGUGAAACAUCUCAGUACCCUUAGGAAAAGAAAUCAAUUGAGAUUCCCUCAGUAGCGGCGAGCGAACGGGGAUCAGCCCAUUAAGUUAUGUGUGUUUUAGUGGAACGCUCUGGGAAGUGCGAACGUAGAGGGUGAUAUUCCCGUACACGAAAGGGCACACAUAAUGAUGACGAGUAGGGCGAGGCACGUGAAACCUUGUCUGAAUAUGGGGGGACCAUCCUCCAAGGCUAAAUACUCCUGACUGACCGAUAGUGAACCAGUACCGUGAGGGAAAGGCGAAAAGAACCCCUGUGAGGGGAGUGAAAUAGAUCCUGAAACCGCAUGCAUACAAGCAGUGGGAGCACCUUCGUGGUGUGACUGCGUACCUUUUGUAUAAUGGGUCAGCGACUUAUAUUCAGUAGCAAGGUUAACCGUAUAGGGGAGCCGUAGAGAAAUCGAGUCUUAAUAGGGCGUUUAGUUGCUGGGUAUAGACCCGAAACCAGGCGAUCUAUCCAUGAGCAGGUUGAAGGUUGGGUAACACUAACUGGAGGACCGAACCCACUGUCGUUGAAAAGCCAGGGGAUGACUUGUGGAUAGGGGUGAAAGGCUAAUCAAGCCUGGUGAUAGCUGGUUCUCCCCGAAAGCUAUUUAGGUAGCGCCUCGGACGAAUACCAUAGGGGGUAGAGCACUGUUUCGGCUAGGGGGUCAUCCCGACUUACCAAACCGAUGCAAACUCCGAAUACCUAUGAGUACUAUCCGGGAGACAGACUGCGGGUGCUAACGUCCGUAGUCAAGAGGAAAACAAUCCAGACCGCCAGCUAAGGCCCCAAAAUCAUAGUUAAGUGGGAAACGAUGUGGGAAGGCAUAGACAGCUAGGAGGUUGGCUUAGAAGCAGCCACCCUUUAAAGAAAGCGUAAUAGCUCACUAGUCGAGUCGGCCUGCGCGGAAGAUGUAACGGGGCUAAAACUAUGUGCCGAAG
rnacentral:rRNA from 1 species